rnacentral:rRNA from 1 species
UACGUAGGUGACAAGCGUUGUCCGGAUUUACUGGGCGUAAAGAGCGCGCAGGCGGUCGAUCAAGUCGAGUGUGAAAGCCCCCGGCUCAACUGGGGAGGGUCAUUCGAUACUGAUCGACUCGAGGCAGGAGAGGGUAGUGGAAUUCCCGGUGUAGUGGUGAAAUGCGUAGAUAUCGGGAGGAACACCAGUGGCGAAGGCGACUACCUGGCCUGUUCUUGACGCUGAGGCGCGAAAGCUAGGGGAGCAAACGGG